rnacentral:lncRNA from 1 species
CAGUGAAAACACUGUUUGAACCUGAACAGCUGUGCUUGUUAGGGCCAGUAGAGGUUCAAGAAACAUAUUCUGAGACAUUAAACCAGGCAGUUAAUAUGAAAGAACUUGGUAUAACCAGAUAGAGUGAUUGUAGUUCUGAAAUCUCAACAGUUUCUAGUUUUGAAAGACACUGGGAAGACAGAGACAAUUCAGUUUAAGUAGGCAUAGGUUUUGUUGGAUACCAGAAAUGGUUUCAAAGUUGUUUUCACAUUUUGAAGGUAUGAUAUGCAAAGCAAGAGAUAAGGGAGUCAAUACAGACUUCCUUUCAUGAAUCCAGCCCUAUAUCCUUAGUGGUAUCUUAUCCAUGCCAUUAGAUAGAUAUACAGUUCCCAAGCAUCACAGUAAGCAACAUCUUUCUUUAAAGCUUUUCUUGUUCUUUCCACUUUUCUUGCCAUUCUUGUCUUUGUUUUCAGACAUUUUCUUUGCUCUGAUUUCUCUCAUUAAAUCAAAGAAUACCUUAUCUACAUUUGCUCUAGUUUUGGCAGAGGUCUCUACAUACUGCACGCCCCACUCUUCUGCCUUACUUCUAGCCUCUUCUACAGGCACUUGUCGGCGCUCUUCCAAGUCAGAUUUGUUUCCUACUACCAGUAAAGGUAUUUUAUCUUCUUCAGCCUUCACACGCAGGAUCUGUUCCCGAAAUUCUGCUGUAGCUGUGAAGGAUUCAUGCUCUGUUAUUGAGAAGACUAGAAGAAAUCCCUCCCCACUGCGGAAAUAGUUAUCUCUGAUCGCUGCAUAAUCCUCCUGUCCUGCUGUGUCCAGAAUGU